GGAUGCGAUCAUACCAGCACUAAGCACCGGAUCCCAUCAGAACUCCGCAGUUAAGCGUGCUUGGGCGAGAGUAGUACUAGGAUGGGUGACCCCUGGGAAGUCCUCGUGUUGCAUCCC
rnacentral:rRNA from 1 species